rnacentral:tRNA from 1 species
UGUUCUGUGGUUAAGCUGGUUUCAACGCUGGACUAGCAAUACGGAGUCGUGGGUUCGAAUCCCACCAAAACAA